AUUGAACGCUGGCGGCAGGCCUAACACAUGCAAGUCGAACGUGGCGCGGACGGGUGAGUAAUGUCUGGGAAACUGCCCGCUGGUGGGGGAUAACUACUGGAAACGGUAGCUAAUACCGCAUACCAUCAGAUGUGCCCAGAUGUGAUUAGCUAGUGGUUGGGGUAACGGCUCACCUAGGCGACGAUCCCUAGCUGGUCUGAGAGGAUGACCAGCCACCCUGUAACUGAGACACGGUCCAGACUCCUCCGGGAGGCAGUAGUGGGGAAUAUUGCACAAUGGGAGAAAGCCUGACGCAGCCAUGCCGCGUGUAUGAAGAAGUCCUUCGGGUGGUAAAGUACUUUCAGCGAGGAGGCGUUACUCGCAGAAGAAGCAUCGGCUAACUCCGUGCCAGCAGCCGCGGUAAUUC
rnacentral:rRNA from 1 species